rnacentral:rRNA from 1 species
UAAUAUUUUGAAAUUUAUAUUUUAGUAAAAAAGCUAAAAUUAUUUAUAGGGACGAGAAGACCCUAUCAAGUUUUACAAUCAAAAAUUUAAUCUCAAACUAAGUUUUAAAUUGUUUUGCUGGGGCAGCAAAUAAAAAUUUUUUAUUUAAAAAUUAUGACAAAUAAGUCUUGAAAAAUCAAAAAUUUUUUAAUUAAAAAUAAAUUACUGUAGGGAUAACAGCAUAAUUUUUUUAGAGAGUUCUUAUCAUCAAAAAAGUUUGUGACCUCGAUGUUGGAUUAAA